CGAGAAAGAAAAAAGCAAAUGCAAUGACUAAUAUUAGCACCCCCCCCAGAAGUGAUCCGAAGAAGAAAAUCGUGAAAAAUCGAUAAUUCCUCGCGUUUUUUUUCCUUUUCUCCCAACACAGAGACAUCCAGUGACAGUUUGUUGAGUGGGGAAAGAGCCAAACCCCAAAAAGAAUCGUCACUUUGGCUGUCAAAACACACGGAUGGCUCUUGUAGUUGUGUGAGAGUUGCGUGUGUACGAUUACGCGCAGUGUUGCCAGCUGGGAAGCAAUCGUGGGUGGAUCUGUCAAAUGUUGGGACACUCUCGUACUCUUUAGAUGUGUUGGAAGUGUGUUGUGAAUGGAAGUUUACUGUACGCAAGUCCAUUGUGCCGCCGUGUGUAGUAGAAGCAUCUGAGAGAUUGCACGCCCGAGAGAGAGCGAGCGAGCGAAUGUCUCCGUGUGGGAAAAUACACACUGCUGCAUAACGAAGUCGCGUGAAGAUAUCGAUUUUCAUCAUACACUCCACUCACAAGUCGCUGGAGAGUCGUCGUUCGAGUCAAGUGCAGAAUAUUAGGAACCAAAGCUCCCUAAUUUAUCUGAACGGAUCAAAUCUCGGGACUGGUGCUGGUCGCGGAACAGACCGUAGAAAUCUUGCUACGAGUUCCGAAGAACAAGUUCCGCGGUGGUGUAUCCGAAUCGACGACCGGAAGCAGCUGGAAGUUUUCUCUACCCGAGACGGAACAUCAUUCGUGAUUGAUUUUUCCCUCUUUUGACAGAUGAAAAAAGUUGGAUCUAUAGGUGGACGUCGUCUAACUCUAUAGCCAGUGUGCAGUAGGAACAAGUUGUGCGAGCACAGGAAGAACCAGAGUCUGUUCGCAGACAAAGUGAAAAGAUAUUCUUCCCCACGUAAAACAUCCGGAAGGCGUCAGGGGUGUUGAUUCGUGUGUCUCCAGCAGCUACAGAUGGGAUUUCCGGUGUGAAUGGAUCGUUGGAUCUCGCACGAAAAACAGCCCGGUUCUUGAGAGGCAGCAAAGCCACCUGCCGCGCGCGUUAGUUCUGUCGGCAGAGUAAAUAUAAGUAGAUAAGUCUUAGGAGUGCUUGCUUAGAGAGUGGUCCCGGAAGCCGAGUCUGGUCGUCUGUGGAAUCCGGUGUGAGUGUGCGUACCUUGUCUCCAGCAUCGAGCGAAGAAAGCGAAGUAGUCAUCUGCAAUACCAGCAGCAUCAAGAAGAUUCAGGGAAUAAGAAGAACCCGAAAUUCAAGUUGAGUGAUCAUAUUUGCUAGUAUCGGAAUAGUGUCCCCCGGGAGACCCAACCGAAGCCUCCAAAAUGACGAAGGAUAGAUUAGCAGCGUUACAGGCGGCACAAAGCGACGAUGAGGACAUGCCAGAAGAUGUGGUCGUGCCGGUGGAGGGCAGCUUUAUGGAGGAUUUUUUCAACGAGGUGGAAGAGAUCCGUAUCAUGAUCGACAAAAUCCAGGCGAACGUGGAAGAAGUGAAGAAAAAGCACAGUGCCAUCCUGUCGGCCCCACAGUCAGAUGAGAAAACCAAACAGGAACUCGAAGACCUUAUGGCCGAUAUUAAAAAAACUGCCAACAGAGUAAGAGGGAAGCUCAAGGGUAUCGAACAGAACAUUGAGCAGGAAGAGCAGACGAAUAAGUCCAAUGCCGAUCUUAGGAUACGGAAGACACAGCACUCGGCGCUGUCGCGCAAAUUCGUCGAAGUGAUGACCGAGUACAACCGGACUCAGACUGACUACCGAGAACGAUGCAAAGGAAGAAUACAACGACAAUUGGAAAUUACGGGUAGAGCGACGACAAAUGAAGAGCUGGAGGAGAUGUUGGAGCAGGGCAAUUCCGCCGUGUUCACGCAAGGGAUCAUCAUGGAAACCCAACAAGCUAAACAAACGCUCGCCGAUAUCGAAGCACGGCAUGCAGAUAUUAUAAAAUUGGAGAAUUCAAUUAGGGAGCUACAUGAUAUGUUCAUGGAUAUGGCAAUGCUCGUCGAGAGUCAGGGUGAAAUGAUUGAUCGUAUAGAAUAUCAUGUUGAACACGCAAUGGAUUAUGUCCAAACAGCGACACAAGACACAAAGAAAGCGCUUAAAUAUCAAAGCAAAGCCCGCCGGAAGAAGAUCAUUAUCCUGAUAUGUGUGAGCAUCCUUCUGAUAGUGGUUGCGUCAACAAUUGCCGGAUAUGUCGGUUUUUAAAAAGCAUCGAUGGUAACGAAACGAUACAAACAAAAGCAAAAAAAAAGAAAGAACAGAAACUAAUAUAGGAGUAAUGAUUAUCUCAGACAAACCACACAAAUUAAAAACUCCGCAAUCAUGCAUACACUCGUGUGUUCACACACCCGCGUUGUCCAAAGCUUAUCUUUCAUUGUGCUCCGUUGAUAAUAGUUGAUCAUCGAUGAAAGGCAAGCUUCCCAGCUUUAGAAAAACUGUUUUCAAUUUUCCAUUACGGCUGCCAUCGGUGCCGAGCAUGUAGUAGCAACAGCAGUUCAUUCUCCCAUCUCGGAAAUCGCGCUUCUUUCUCGGAAGGCGAUUGGACUCACAGUGUUACCAAGCAAUUCAUAAUCCACGUCACAACGGUGAUCAACCUGUGGCCACAGCUUCCUUCUCUUUCAUUACAACUCACCGGGACACAAAUCAGGUGGCACACAUCUCAGCUCGAAGAACAAAGCAGAAAAGAAAACAACAAUCAGUGAACAGUAUCACGCAAAUAACACAAACACAAACCCACUAACACCUGCGAUGGACAAACGAUUUACUACAGUAAGAAACAGAAAAAAAAAAAUGAACAUAGUAGCGAAUGUGACGAUCGUGCAAAACUUACAAAAAAAACAAAAAUCGUAGAUCGGUGGUGUGGAGAUAGCUUUCCAUCUCCGCCUCGCUUUUCCAUUCACGAUCUCAUAACUCGAUGAUUAUCUUACGAAUACAACCCUAUAGCUACAUGGAAAAGAUUCAACCACCCGCUCGUUGAUUAUUUAUUAAGUUUGUAUUAGGAUUCUAGGAUAGUUUUGUUUUCGUCCCGCACGUGUGCGGUUGCUGUUUAUCGAAACGUUGGGUUUGAUUUUGUUGAGUUACUAAGGCUAUCUAUACUAGUCAAAAAAAAAAACUGAUGAUGCUAAGUAUGUAACGAAGGACGACGCUGUAAUCAAGUCGCUCUAAUCUUAGUCUAGUUAAAAACACACACACAUACACACACAUGCCACACAAGACAUCAUACGAGGUUAGGUUUACUUCUGUGUAAAUAUAUUCGGAACAAGAAAGAACAAGCUUCACUAUUCACCAUUUUUUGCGUUGAAUCUAUUUAUCCAUUCGAACA